rnacentral:rRNA from 1 species
GACGAACGCUGGCGGCGUGCUUAACACAUGCAAGUCGAACGGAAAGGCCCUGCUUUUGUGGGGUGCUCGAGUGGCGAACGGGUGAGUAACACGUGAGUAACCUGCCCUUGACUUUGGGAUAACUUCAGGAAACUGGGGCUAAUACCGGCUAGGAGCUCCUGCUGCAUGGUGGGGGUGGGAAAGUUUCGGCGGUUGGGGAUGGACUCGCGGCUUAUCAGCUUGUUGGUGGGGUAGUGGAUUACCAAGGCUUUGACGGGUAGCCGGCCUGAGAGGGUGACCGGCCACAUUGCGACUGAGAUACGGCCCAGACUCCUACGGGAGGCAGCAGUGGGGAAUAGUGCACAAUGGGCGGAAGCCUGGUGCAGCAACGCCGCGUGCGGGAUGACGGCCUUCGGGUUGUAUACCGCUUUCGCCUGUGACGAAGCGUGAGUGACGGUAAUGGGUAAAGAAGCACCGGCUAACUACGUG